UCCGAGUUGACCCCGGCAGUCCCCUUAGAGUUCCCGACAUUACUCGCUGGCAACUAAGGGCAAGGGUUGCGCUCGUUACGGGACUUAACCCAACAUCUCACGACACGAGCUGACGACAGCCAUGCAGCACCUGUCUCAGAGUUCCCGAAGGCACCAAUCCAUCUCUGGAAAGCUCUCUGGAUGUCAAGACCUGGUAAGGUUCUUCGCGUUGCGUCGAAUUAAACCACAUGCUCCACCGCUUGUGCGGGCCCCCGUCAAUUCAUUUGAGUUUUAAUCUUGCGGCCGUACUCCCCAGGCGGGGCACUUAAUGCGUUAGCUUCGGCACGGCAACCGUUGGUCGGGUCGCCACACCUAGUGCCCAACGUUUACAGCGUGGACUAC
rnacentral:misc_RNA from 1 species